rnacentral:rRNA from 1 species
AUGAACGCUGGCGGCGUGCCUAAUACAUGCAAGUCGAGCGAACAGACGAGGAGCUUGCUCCUCUUACGUUAGCGGCGGACGGGUUAGUAACACGUGGAUAACCUACCUAUAAUUCUUGGAUAACUUCGGGAAACCGGAGCUAAUACCGGAUAAUAUAUUGAACCGCAUGGUUCAAUAGUUAAAUACGGUUUUUCUUUCACUUAUUGAUUGUUCCGCGCCGCAUUAGAUAGUUGGUAAGGUAACGGCUUACCAAGGCAACGAUGCGUAGCCUAACUGAGAGGGGGAUCGGCCACACGGGAACGGAGACACGGACCAGAAUACUACGGGAGGCAGCAGUAGGGAAUAUUCCGCAAUGGGCGAAAGCCUGACGGAGCAAAGCCGCGUGAGGGAAGAAGGUCUUCGGAUCGUAAAACUCUGUCAUUAGGGAAGAACAAAUGUGUAAGUAACUAUGCACGUCUUGACGGUACCUAAUCAGAAAGCAACGGCUAACUACGUG